AUAGGGAUACUAUACUUAGCCUUUCAAACAAAUGAUUUCAAAGAAUACAAAAAUGAAUUGUGAUUUUUCUUCAAGUUCUCUUUUACCUUAUGUUGCUUAUCAUGAAAGGUAUUUUCCAAAUGAAUGAUCAGUUCAUUGAAAAGUAACAGCAAAGUGCUUUCAAGUGCACAUUAUGAAUAAUAAAGGAGUUGCACGGCUUACUGGAAAUACAUCCACAAGAGGACCAACAGCUCCUCCACUACCCAUCUUAUCAAUCAAGAGGCAACUGUCAUUUGACCAAGGAGAAAG